UCACAGCGUCCCUCUGACUGAAUGGAUC
rnacentral:sRNA from 1 species